rnacentral:piRNA from 1 species
CUAUGACUGUAGGAAUAAAGGAAGAUAAUG